GUUAAGUAGCUGGCUAGCUAGUAAUUUCAACAGGAGAACAAGCAAGUGGCUAUCUAGUUAAUACUUACUCACAUUGAGGAAUCAAUCAUUGUUAAGAAUAUUGAAAAUGACUGUCAUUUUUACUGGUCAUUGUUUUCAGGCGGGUUGCAUUGGUGCUAGCAAUGUACCAAGCUAAAGCUAGCUAGAGAUAUGUUAUUAGCAACUUCUGGGGUAUCGAAGAUAUUUGCAAACAUUUUUGAUCCUGAUCUAAUUGAAAAUGCUGACAAACAUUUUCCCAUUCGGUCAAACAAAUAAUGCCGUAUUGUACAGCUUUGACAGUGAUCGUAAUGGUGGCGCUUGGCUUGUACGUGCAAAUGCAAUACAAUACAAUUCUUUAAUAGAAUUGUAUUAUUUGACGUGUCAAAUGUAAUACUUAUUUGACGCACCAAAUAGUGUUAUUUGACGUGAAUCUUUGACACGUAAAGACCCAAUCGGCGUUCCAUACUAUUUCGCCCCCAAAAAUAGACAUCCCAUGUGUUUAGUCCAUCACUUUUAGUCCAAACUUAGCCAAAGAUCAGCCUGACCUCUAGCUUGCUGUAUUGAAAACAAGAGAUACACGAAAAUAACCAUAUAUUGCAUAGCCUAUAUUGAUUAAAUUAAGGGGACUUCAUGGAAAUAUCCACAAUAUCUAUAUUUUUUGUUGACAUUUAACUUGUCAGAUGUCAGACAUAGGCAGAAUAUUACUGAAAACGGCCUGUUGGGUGCAUAACUGAAUUUAUAACAUUUGGAAUUCGGUAUUUUUUCCAAACUACCAUUUGGAUUCACUGACCUGCUUAGGGUGUCAGCUUCUCAUAUCAGGUAUGGGUGUCAUGGCAACAAAAUCAAUGAACGUUAUCGCCCAUAACCUAAAUGAAGAGCGAUUUGAGAUCAGCAUGGUGUUGGUGAACUGUUAAACAAGGGUUAGUGUUUGAAGUCUUCAACUUCAUUCCCAGACUCAUGUUUUGAGGAUUAUUCUGGGCUACCUGGCUCAGACAGGGAGAGUCCACUACUUAUACAGGUGAGUGUACAACAAAGUCUUUAGUGUUGUGAUGAUAUGUGCAUUUAUUUAUGCGUGUGUCUAGGUGCUGCUGUCGCUGUGCCAGGCCUGGGCCGCCAUGCUCUGCUGCGGUGUGUGUGGCUGAGUGAUGCAGCGCUACGCUCAGAGCUGCUGCAGUUCAUGCUGGGAGGGAUGCAGAGCCUCCUAGACAGCAGCAUAGUGUGUGAGGGGCAUGGUGGUGGGGGAGUGUCUCCGCUCCUGCAAUGACAUCAACAGAGCCAAGCUCAAAAUCAAGCAUGAGGGGACCAAGGAGCUGCUCUCACUGAUGAAUCAACUGUCUAAUGAAGAAACAGAUUUGACCUUGAGGAAGAUCCAAGGGCAGACUGUACCCUCUCAGGCAAUACCAACCCAGGUUGCUUCUGUGGCCCAGAAAUCAGGAGCGGACCCAGACUCAAGCUGGAUAGGUAAGAGAGGGCAUUAUCAUAAUCAAACCUAUAACACAAUACCGCUUGUUAUACACUACAUUUAUUAACAAUGUUGUCUGUGAAACUGAAGUUGUAUCUAUCAUUGAAAUCAUUACAACUUAAUGAAUCUUCCCACGGGCACUUAAGCAUGGUGUUGAACUCACCAGCUUGUAGUCCUAAAAAAUGGAAAUGAGUUACCUCUGGUUUGUUCAGCCAUUCCUGUGGGGAAAGAAUAGGGUUUUGGGGUAAAUGCCAAAAAUAAGGUCUGAGGUCAACACAGGUUUAGGAGAUCUUAUACGUUUUGUUCUAUGAGAUAGUCAGUCACCUUUAUGAAUUGAAGCCUUUGUGCGUCUUAUGAUUACAUAAAUGCUUCAAUAUUCACAGUGAUGUUGGCUGAAAGAUUAUCAUAACAAAACAUAAGAUUUCCUAAGCCUGUGUUUACCACCAAACUUAUUUUCUGCAUUUAUACAAAAACGCCAUUAAUUUCCCCAUAGAGUGGAGUUAGAGCCUACAAAAAGACGCCAUUUCUAUCUCUGUAGUGUUGUAUUAACUAGGCUCUAUCCUGUGUGUAUGAACCAGUGAUGAGUCGCUCACUCCCUAUGAUAUAUCCCUACGGGCAGGGCCGUUAUUGGCAGGCCUUAGGGGGCCUGGCCCGCCCUACUGUACCUCCUUGCCCGUCCAAAUAAAAUACUGAUAAUUUAAAGUGCCUUCGGAAAGUAUUCAGACCCCUUGAAUUUUCCCACAUUUUGUUACAGCCUUAUUAAAAAAAAUAUUAAA